UUCUACAGAGAAUUGAUGAAUAAUCGAAUAUUUUUAUAAAUGUUUACGAAGUCCAUUCUUGAGAAGGUGAAACUUUACUGUGCCUUAAGAUUUGAUAAGAGUCAAUCACGAUUGUAUUGUGUGUCGGUGUCGACUCUUGCCUGGUAUAAAAUAAUACACAAGUCUGUUCAUUGUCAUCAGUUAGUUUAAUUUGUUAGUUAAAAGACGUUGAAGAACAAUGGGAAUUUCCCGUGAAAAAUAUAAAAUUGGAUUUCUGGUUUUCGUGUUCAUCGGAAUCAUUGGCCAUAGUGCAAUGGUCGAUGCCCAAAAUCACUGUUUCGCAUUAGCUAACCAUUGCGGUACAUUCUGGUACCCUCAUACAUGCUGGGGCUAUUGCGCUUCCAACUCAAACUGGUGUUUUGAUAAUAACUCAUCUUGCAAUAGAGAUUCCGAUUGUAAUAACAUAAUCGAAUGUAAAUCUUGUAAUUGUUAAAAACCUGAUAAAAAUGGGUACACUCCAA